rnacentral:rRNA from 1 species
ACCCGGUCCCAUUCCGAACCCGGUAGUUAAGCCUUCCAGCGCCGAUGGUACUGCACUCGUGAGGGUGUGGGAGAGUAGGACGCCGCCGAAC